UAUAAUGGGUCAGCGACUUAUAUUCUGUAGCAAGGUUAACCGUAUAGGGGAGCCGCAGGGAAACCGAGUCUUAACUGGGCGUUAAGUUGCAGGGUAUAGACCCGAAACCCGGUGAUCUAGCCAUGGGCAGGUUGAAGGUUGGGUAACACUAACUGGAGGACCGAACCGACUAAUGUUGAAAAAUUAGCGGAUGACUUGUGGCUGGGGGUGAAAGGCCAAUCAAACCGGGAGAUAGCUGGUUCUCCCCGAAAGCUAUUUAGGUAGCGCCUCGUGAACUCAUCUUCGGGGGUAGAGCACUGUUUCGGCUAGGGGGUCAUCCCGACUUACCAACCCGAUGCAAACUACGAAUACCGAAGAAUGUUAUCACGGGAGACACACGGCGGGUGCUAACGUCCGUCGUGAAGAGGGAAACAACCCAGACCGCCAGCUAAGGUCCCAAAGUCACAGUUAAGUGGGAAACGAUGUGGGAAGGCACAGACAGCCAGGAUGUUGGCUUAGAAGCAGCCAUCAUUUAAAGAAAGCGUAAUAGCUCACUGGUCGAGUCGGCCUGCGCGGAAGAUGUAACGGGGCUAAACUGUGCACCGAAGCUGCGGCAGCGACACUA
rnacentral:rRNA from 1 species